GACGAACGCUGGCGGCGUGCCUAAUACAUGCAAGUCGAACGAACUCUGGUAUUGAUUGGUGCUUGCAUCAUGAUUUACAUUUGAGUGAGUGGCGAACUGGUGAGUAACACGUGGGAAACCUGCCCAGAAGCGGGGGAUAACACCUGGAAACAGAUGCUAAUACCGCAUAACAACUUGGACCGCAUGGUCCGAGUUUGAAAGAUGGCUUCGGCUAUCACUUUUGGAUGGUCCCGCGGCGUAUUAGCUAGAUGGUGGGGUAACGGCUCACCAUGGCAAUGAUACGUAGCCGACCUGAGAGGGUAAUCGGCCACAUUGGGACUGAGACACGGCCCAAACUCCUACGGGAGGCAGCAGUAGGGAAUCUUCCACAAUGGACGAAAGUCUGAUGGAGCAACGCCGCGUGAGUGAAGAAGGGUUUCGGCUCGUAAAACUCUGUUGUUAAAGAAGAACAUAUCUGAGAGUAACUGUUCAGGUAUUGACGGUAUUUAACCAGAAAGCCACGGCUAACUACGUGCCAGCAGCCGCGGUAAUACGUAGGUGGCAAGCGUUGUCCGGAUUUAUUGGGCGUAAAGCGAGCGCAGGCGGUUUUUUAAGUCUGAUGUGAAAGCCUUCGGCUCAACCGAAGAAGUGCAUCGGAAACUGGGAAACUUGAGUGCAGAAGAGGACAGUGGAACUCCAUGU
rnacentral:rRNA from 2 species